rnacentral:rRNA from 1 species
AGUGAACGCUGGCGGUAGGCCUAACACAUGCAAGUCGAACGGCAGCACAGUAAGAGCUUGCUCUUACGGGUGGCGAGUGGCGGACGGGUGAGGAAUACAUCGGAAUCUACUUUUUCGUGGGGGAUAACGUAGGGAAACUUACGCUAAUACCGCAUACGACCUACGGGUGAGAGCAGGGGAUCUUCGGACCUUGCGCGAUUGAAUGAGCCGAUGUCGGAUUAGCUAGUUGGCGGGGUAAAGGCCCACCAAGGCGACGAUCCGUAGCUGGUCUGAGAGGAUGAUCCGCCACACUGGAACUGAGACACGGUCCAGACUCCUACGGGAGGCAGCAGUGGGGAAUAUUGGACAAUGGGCGCAAGCCUGAUCCAGCCAUACCGCGUGGGUGAAGAAGGCCUUCGGGUUGUAAAGCCCUUUUGUUGGGAAAGAAAAGCAGCAGGUUAAUACCCCGCUGUUCUGACGGUACCCAAAGAAUAAGCACCGGCUAACUUCGUG